rnacentral:rRNA from 1 species
AGCGAACGCUGGCGGCAGGCUUAACACAUGCAAGUCGAGCGCCCCGCAAGGGGAGCGGCAGACGGGAGAGUAACACGUGGGAACAUACCUUUUGGUUCGGAACAACUGAGGGAAACUUCAGCUAAUGCCGGAUAAGCCCUUACGGGGAAAGAUUUAUCGCCGAAAGAUUGGCCCGCGUCUGAUUAGCUAGUUGGUGAGGUAACGGCUCACCAAGGCGACGAUCAGUAGCUGGUCUGAGAGGAUGAUCAGCCUCACUGGGACUGAGACACGGCCCAGACUCCUACGGGAGGCAGCAGUGGGGAAUAUUGGACAAUGGGGGCAGCCCUGAUCCAGCCAUGCCGCGUGAGUGAUGAAGGCCUUAGGGUUGUAAAGCUCUUUUGCCCGGGAAGAUAAUGACGGUACCGGGAGAAUAAGCCCCGGCUAACUUCGUG